CUUCUGAGGAAGGGUCACAGGACCCGAAACGUUAGCUCUGAUGUUUUUUCUUCACGGACGCCGUCAGACCUGCUGAGUUUUUCCAGCAACUUCCGUUCCUCAUUUACAGCAUCCACAGUUAUUUCGUGUUUUUUUUAAUUUAGUAUCCCGUCGGCCCCUGGAGAUCAGCCUUCUCAAGAACAAUGCAACAGCUUGUAAAACAGUAAUUGUAACAAUAACUGCUCCAAGGAAAUCAGCUCCAACACUGAAAAAAACCUCAACAAAGCAGCUGUUACAGCCACAAUUUUCUCCCAUCAAUGCAGAUACGUUGGAAAGAGUUCAAGUGAAAUUUAAGAUCCUGAAAAGCAAAGGAAGGUUAACAAGACUGGAUCUUCUUGAAUGAAAACCACCCUCUAUCAACAGAAAUGUGGUUGAGUCUAACAUUUCCUGCCCUUUAGGAUGGCAAGGGAAGGGUGGAUGAAAAAGAAUUUCUUCUGAUGUGAACACAGACUAAUCUUCCGUGAGGAUAAUAACAAGCACUCAGCAUUCUGAAGAAGGGUCACUGGACCAGAAAUGUUAACUCUGCUUUCUCUCCACAGAUGCUGCCAGACCUGCUGAGUUUCUCCAGCAAUUUCUGUUUCUGUACCUGUUUUAUCCUGGCCCAGAAGUGCAUUUUUUUAUGAAAAUCAAGAUUGUCAAUUAUAAUUUGUGGAUGUGUACAGAGGCAGGGUUUCAGCCCUUAGGUGUGGAAAGCUGCAAUUAUGGGUACAUCAGUUUAAAACACAUCCAAGACUGGAGUAACAGUAAGUGGGAUGCAUUCACAUGCUCUUACUGGUGUGUCUAGACGUUUCCCAAGAAUCAGCUGUAUCUGUGCCAGCAGAUGUAAUUGAAAGGAUUUACCACUGAAAUUGUCAGGAGGAUGGCUCACAUACAAAAUGAUUUACUUCUGUAACUGGCUCUAUUUCCUGCAAAGAUUAUUAUAAAAAUAGCAAAGUUUAUACACUGUAUUAAAAAAAAUACAAUCGCUACAUAUA